rfam:Gossypium hirsutum cultivar TM-1 chromosome 7, whole genome shotgun sequence
AAAACGCACCAGGGGUGCCUGUAUCUGCCAUUUAGCUCUUUGGCAUUUUGGCAGAAUGAGGCUGAGAAAGUCCCUUUGAACCUGAUCAGGAUAAUUCCUGCGUAGGGAGUGUGCAUUUUUGUUGCU